UGGGGAAUAUUGGACAAUGGGCGAAAGCCUGAUCCAGCAAUGCCGCGUGUGUGAAGAAGGUCUUCGGAUUGUAAAGCACUUUCGACGGGGACGAUGAUGACGGUACCCGUAGAAGAAGCCCCGGCUAACUUCGUGCCAGCAGCCGCGGUAAUACGAAGGGGGCUAGCGUUGCUCGGAAUGACUGGGCGUAAAGGGCGCGUAGGCGGUUCGGUUAGUUAGGCGUGAAAUUCCUGGGCUCAACCUAGGGACUGCGCUUAAUACAGCCGGGCUUGAGUUCGGAAGAGGGUAGUGGAAUUCCCAGUGUAGAGGUGAAAUUCGUAGAUAUUGGGAAGAACACCGGUGGCGAAGGCGGCUACCUGGUCCGAUACUGACGCUGAGGCGCGAAAGCGUGGGGAGCAAACAGG
rnacentral:rRNA from 1 species